rnacentral:rRNA from 1 species
GACGAACGCUGGCGGCGUGCCUAAUACAUGCAAGUAGGACGCAGUUGCGAACGGGUGAGUAACGCGUAGGUAACUACCUAUUAGAGGGGGAUAACUAUUGGAAACGAUAGCUAAUACCGCAUACUAGUAGAUGGACCUGCGUUGUAUUAGCUAGUAGGUAGGGUAAUGGCCUACCUAGGCAACGAUACAUAGCCGACCGUGGGGGGUGGUCGGCCACACUGGGACGGGGGCACGGCCCAGGAGCCUACGGGAGGCAGGAGUAGGGGAACUUUGGAAAUGGGGGGAAAGCUUGACGAGGAACGCCGGGUGAGUGAAGAAGGUUUUCGGAUUGUAAAGCUCUGUUGUUAAGGAAGCGGUACUUAACCAGAAAGGGACGGCUAACUACGUGCCAGCAGCCGCGGUAAUAC